rnacentral:tRNA from 1 species
GGCCGGUUAGCACAAUUGGUAGUGUGUCUGACUACGAUUCAUCGGUAAUCAGGAGGUUGCGGGUUCGAGCCCCGUGCUGGUCA